CCUACGGGCGGCUGCAGUGGGGAAUAUUGGACAAUGGGGGGAACCCUGAUCCAGCCAUGCCGCGUGUGUGAAGAAGGCCCUCGGGUUGUAAAGCACUUUCAGUGAGGAAGAAUGCCUGGUGGUUAAUACCCAUCAGGAAAGACAUCACUCACAGAAGAAGCACCGGCUAACUCCGUGCCAGCAGCCGCGGUAAUACGGAGGGUGCGAGCGUUAAUCGGAAUUACUGGGCGUAAAGCGCGCGUAGGUGGCUUGAUAAGCCGGUUGUGAAAGCCCCGGGCUCAACCUGGGAACGGCAUCCGGAACUGUCAAGCUAGAGUGCAGGAGAGGAAGGUAGAAUUCCCGGUGUAGCGGUGAAAUGCGUAGAGAUCGGGAGGAAUACCAGUGGCGAAGGCGGCCUUCUGGACUGACACUGACACUGAGGUGCGAAAGCGUGGGUAGCAAACAGGAUUAGAUACCCGUGUAGUC
rnacentral:rRNA from 1 species